rnacentral:rRNA from 1 species
UGCGUAGGCGGGUCUUUAAGUCAGGGGUGAAAUCCUGGAGCUCAACUCCAGAACUGCCUUUGAUACUGAAGAUCUUGAGUUCGGGAGAGGUGAGUGGAACUGCGAGUGUAGAGGUGAAAUUCGUAGAUAUUCGGAAGAACACCAGUGGCGAAGGCGACACACUGGCUCAUUACUGACGCUGAGGCUCGAAAGCGUGGGGAGCAAACA